rnacentral:rRNA from 1 species
GAUGAACGCUGGCGGCGUGCCUAAUACAUGCAAGUCGAGCGAACAGAUAAGGAGCUUGCUCCUUUGACGUUAGCGGCGGACGGGUGAGUAACACGUGGGUAACCUACCUAUAAGACUGGGAUAACUUCGGGAAACCGGAGCUAAUACCGGAUAAUAUUUCGAACCGCAUGGUUCGAUAGUGAAAGAUGGUUUUGCUAUCACUUAUAGAUGGACCCGCGCCGUAUUAGCUAGUUGGUAAGGUAACGGCUUACCAAGGCGACGAUACGUAGCCGACCUGAGAGGGUGAUCGGCCACACUGGAACUGAGACACGGUCCAGACUCCUACGGGAGGCAGCAGUAGGGAAUCUUCCGCAAUGGGCGAAAGCGUGACGGAGCAACGCCGCGUGAGUGAUGAAGGUCUUCGGAUCGUAAAACUCUGUUAUUAGGGAAGAACAUACGUGUAAGUAACUGUGCACGUCUUGACGGUACCUAAUCAGAAAGCCACGGCUAACUACGUG